UAUAAUAUAAUCGUAUAAGAUAGGAACGGCUAAGAUAGCAUUUGGUAGGAUAGCAACGGGUAAGGUAAGAUAGAGUAGGAUGUGAAUAUGAAAAGGUAGAAUAUGAAAAGGUAGGAUAGGAAUGGCUAUGGUAUGAUAGCAUAGGAUGUGGUAGCAUAUGAACGGCUAAGAUAUUAUUGGAUAGGAUAAGGUAGGAUAGGAAUGGAUAAAGGUAAGAUAGAAUAGGAGAAGGUAGCAUAGGGAUGGCUAAGGUAAGAUAGAACAGGAUAAGGUAGCAUAGGAACGGCUAAGAUAUGAUAGAAUAAGCUGGUUAGGAAAGAGUAAUAUAAGAUAGAAUAGGAUAAGGUACGAUAGGAACAGCUGAGGUAUGAUAGAAUCGUAUAAGAUAGGAAUGGCUAAGAUAGAAUUAGGUAGGAUAGCAACGGUUAAGCUAAGAUAGAAUAAGAUAAGGUAGGAUAAAAAUGGCUAAGGUAUGAUAGAAUAGGCCAAGAUAGGAUAGGAAUGGCUAAGGUAAGAUUGAAUAGGAUAAGGUAGGAUAGGAAUGGUUAAGGUAAGAUAGGAUAGGAUGUUGUAGGAUAAGAAUGUGUAGGAUAGGAUAAGAUAGGAUAGGAACGGCUAAGAUAUAAUAGAAUAGGAUAAGGUAUGAUAGAAUAGGCCAAGAUAGGAUAGGAAUGGCUAAGGUAAGAUUGAAUAGGAUAAGGUAGGAUAGGAAUGGUUAAGGUAAGAUAGGAUAGGAUGUUGUAGGAUAAGAAUGUGUAGGAUAGGAUAAGAUAGGAUAGGAACGGCUAAGAUAUAAUAGAAUAGGAUAAGGUAUGAUAGAAUAGGCCAAGAUAGGAUAGGAAUGGCGAAGGUAAGAUAGAAUAGGAUAAGGUAGGAUAGGAAUGGUUAAGGUAAGAUAGGAUAUGAUGUGGUAGGAUAAGAAUGUGUAGGAUAGGAUAAGAUAGGAUUGGAACGGCUAAGAUAUAAUAGAAUAGGAUAAGGUAUGAUAGGAAUGCCAAUUGUAAGAUAGAAUAGGAUGUGGUAGGAUUAGAAUGGGUAAGAUAGGAUGGAAUAGGAUUAGGUAGGAAAGGAACGGGUAAGAUAUGAUAGAAUAGGAUAAGGUAGCAUAGGAACGGAUAAGAUAUGAUAGAAUAUGCUGGUUAGGAAAGAGUAAUUUGAGAUAGAAUAGUAUAAGGUAGGAUUGGAAUGACUAGGGCAAGAUAGAAUAGGAUGUGGUAGGAUAAGAAUGUAUAAGAUAGGAUAAGGUAGGUUAGGAACGGCUAAGGUAUGAUAUAAUCGGAUUAGAUAGGAACGGCUAAGAUAGCAUUAGGUACGAUAGCAACGGGUAAGCUAAGAUAGAAUAGGGUUUGCUAGGAUGAAAAUGGCAAAGACAUGAUAGGAUAAGGUAGUAUAGGAACGGCUAAUAUGAGAUAGAAUAAGAUAAGGUAGGAUAAAAAUGGCUAAGGUAUGAUAGAAUAGGCCAAGAUAGGAUAGGAAUGGCUAAGGUAAGAUAUAAUAGGAUAAGGUAGGAUAGGAAUGGUUAAGGUAAGAUAGGAUUGGAUGUUGUAGGAUAAGAAUGUGUAGGAUAGGAUAAGAUAGGAUAGGAACGGCUAAGAUAUAAUAGAAUAGGAUAAGGUAUGAUAGGAAUGCCAAUUUUAAGAUAGAAUAGGAUGUGGUAGGAUUAGAAUGGGUAAGAUAGGAUGGAAUAGGAUGAGGUAGGAAAGGAACGGGUAAGAUAUGAUAGAAUAGGGUAAGGUAGGAUAGGAAUGGUUAAGGUAAGAUGGAAUCGGAUGUGGUCGGAUAAGAAUGUGUAAGAUAGAAUAAGGUAGGAUAGGAACGGCUAAGAUAUGAUAGAAUAGGAUAAGGUAGGAUAGGAAUGCCAAUUGUAAGAUAGAAUAGCAUGUGGUAGGAUUAGAAUGGGUAAGAUAGGAUGGAAUAGAAUAAGGUAGCAUAUGAACGGCUAAGAUAUGAUAGAAUAGAAUAAGGUAGGAUAGCAAUGGCUGAAGGUAAUAUAGAAUAGGAUUAGGUAGCAUAGGAACGGCUAAGAUAUGAUAGAAUAUGCUGGUUAGUAAGGAGUAAUUUAAGAUAGAAUAGUAUAAGGUAGGAUAGGAACAGCUGAGGUAUUAUAGAAUCGUAUAAGAUAGGAACGGCUAAGAUAGAAUUAGGUAGGAUAGCAACGGGUAAGCUAAGAUAGAAUAGGAUGUGGUAGGAUGAAAAUGGCUAAGGUAUGAUAGAAUAGGCCAAGAUAGGAUAGGAAUGGCUAAGGUAAGAUUGAAUAGGAUAAGGUAGCAUAGGAAUGGUUAAGGUAAGAUAGGAUAUGAUGUGGUAGGAUAAGAAUGUGUAGGAUAGGAUAAGAUAGGAUAGGAACGGCUAAGAUAUAAUAGAAUAGGAUAAGGUAUGAUAGGAAUGCCAAUUUUAAGAUAGAAUAGGAUGUGGUAGGAUUAGAAUGGGUAAGAUAGGAUGGAAUAGGAUGAGGUAGGAAAGGAACGGGUAAGAUAUGAUAGAAUAGGGUAAGGUAGGAUAGGAAUGGUUAAGGUAAGAUGGAAUCGGAUGUGGUCGGAUAAGAAUGUGUAAGAUAGAAUAAGGUAGGAUAGGAACGGCUAAGAUAUGAUAGAAUAGGAUAAGGUAGGAUAGGAAUGCCAAUUGUAAGAUAGAAUAGCAUGUGGUUGGAUUAGAAUGGGUAAGAUAGGAUGGAAUAGAAUAAGGUAGUAUAUGAACGGCUAAGAUAUGAUAGAAUAGAAUAAGGUACGAUAGCAAUGGCUAAAGGUAAGAUAGAAUAGGAUAAGGUAGCAUAGGAACGGCUAAGAUAUGAUAAAAUAAGCUGGUUAGGAAAGAGUAAUAUGAGAUAGAAUAGUAUAAGGUAGGAUUGGAAUGACUAGGGCAAGAUAGAAUAGGAUGUGGUAGGAUAAGAAUGUGUAAGAUAGGAUAAGAUAGGUUAGGAACGGCUAAGGUAUGAUAUAAUCGGAUAAGAUAGGAACGGCUAAGAUAGCAUUAGGUAGGAUAGUAACGGGUAAGGUAAGAGAGUAGGAUGUGGUAGGAUAAGAAUGGCUAAGAUUUGAUAAAAUAGGAUAAGGUAGUAUAGGAACGGUUAAGAUAUGAGGGAAUAAGCUGGUUUGGAACGGCUAAUAUAAGACAGAAUAUGAUAAGGUAGGAUAGGAAUGGCUAAGGUAUGAUAGAA